rnacentral:rRNA from 1 species
GACGAACGCUGGCGGCGUGCUUAACACAUGCAAGUCGAACGGAAAGGCCCUGCUUUUGUGGGGUGCUCGAGUGGCGAACGGGUGAGUAACACGUGAGUAACCUGCCCUUGACUUUGGGAUAACUUCAGGAAAAUGGGGCUAAUACCCGAUAGGAGCUCCUGCUGCAUGGGGGGGGUUGGAAAAUUUCGGCGGUUGGGGAUGGUCUCGCGGCUUAUCAGCUUGUUGGUGGGGUAGUGGCUUACCAGGGCUUUGACGGGUAGCCGGCCUGAGAGGGUGACCGGCCACAUUGGGACUGAGGUACGGCCCAGACGCCUACGGGAGGCAGCAGUGGGGAAUAUUGCACAAUGGGCGGAAGCCUGAUGCAGCAACGCCGCGUGCGGGAUGACGGCCUUCGGGGUGUAAACCGCUUUCGCCUGUGACGAAGCGUGAGUGACGGUAAUGGGUAAAGAAGCACCGGCUAACUACGUG